GUGCCACCCGUGAAAGACGUGGAGAACAAGGUUUCUGCACCUGGGCGUGCUGGCGGAUAGGAAUUGUCUCGGCAAGAGCACCAUGGGCCUCGGCAAUACCAGCCGCGAAAGACGUGGAGAACAAGAUUUUUGCACCUGGGCGCGCUGAGAGAUCAGCUGACGGAUAGGAAUUGUCUCGGCAAGAGCACCAUGGGCCUCGGCAAUACCAGCCGUGAAAGACGUGGAGAACAAGAUUUUUGCACCUGGGCGCGCUGAGAGAUCAGCUGAUGGAUAGGAAUUGUUGUCUCGACGAGGCGAUGUCGAAGAACGCAACACCCGGGAACAACGCCUCCCAGGGCCGUGACAUUUGCGCGGCCAUAGGUCGCGUAAUCGAGCACGAGUUCGCCAUUAUCGCCGGCUUCGUUAAUUUCACGGAAUGAGCCGCUCGACGCUCGUUCUGGACACAAUGGAGCCAUAUCAGAAAUGAACGUCAUCCAGCGGGUCCUUCGGGGCGAUGGCGGAUGCGGUCGUUCGUCGUCGCUGCGUUUCCCACGCGUGGGACGCAGCGAGUGUUCGGCAUACCGUAACGUGAACACGUCCACGUUACUUGCGGCUUAACGCACGCGUCUCGACACACCUGUAUUACCUGUAUGUGCAGGAAAUACACGCAACGGGUGCGCCUGGGGCGUAAUGUAUACGCUACCUGUGCACCUUGACGCGAUGACGAAGACGCACCCUCGUCGCGCGUGCGGGAAAUCAAAUGCAAUUUCCAGGUGUUGUACGAUGUGCGAGGCAAGACCGAUUAAUUUAUACCGUAAGCCUCGAGGAUAGUAAAUCGCUUGAUUAUAUUCCGCUCGUGAUUUCCUGCGUUUUUUUUAAUCCGGUAUUAAUCGGGAAUAUUAAUUAAGAAUGUUUAGGAAGGCAAAGUGAGGAUAGAGCGAUAGACGGUGGCACGAAGUAACGCGAGAAUGGCGCUUAUGUUAAGUUUUCGAAAUUGAAUUAAGAUUCUGGUCAAGAAUUCCGAGGGUUGUAAUGUAACGCGAUUUAUGACAGAAGGCGGGGCAUAUUUUUCACCGCGACAUAUAUGCGACGAAUUGGAUGGCAGUUAAGUUUCUCCCAUGAUUUUGCAGUCGUUCCGGGGGAGGUUAAAUAACUACGGUUUGCAGAAGCCGCACGGAUAGUUCCUUUCGUAUGAUGAGUUGCGAGCAGCAUUCAUGGCACCAUAUUUUACAGUUACUACAUUGUAUCCAGCCACCCUUCUGGCGGAUCACUAUAAACUGCUUCGGAGAUGAUACAUGCCCGCGAGACAGAUGUUGAUCAUUUGUGGGAGGCUUCGGCUCGUUUUUGGCACAUUUAGAUCUUAAGCCUCUUAGUUUCGCGUUAGCCCCGUGGGACAUCAAAGGUUGAGGCCCGACAACCGUGACUAGUUGCUAAGAUCGUGAAAAAUUGUACCCGCCUUCUAUUUCUAAUUCCAUGUAAUGAACAACUCUGUACAAAAGUGCAAGUAUCGGGAGAUAUUUAGGGCGGAUAAUCGCGAAGCCAUCUAUAAAGAAAGAGGCUCAAUUAGGGAAGCAUGAGAUCCGAAUUUACGGCAAAAUUGGCCUUUUUCCGUAAAGCUCCUCGACUGCACUUGGCGAUGCACUUCGAGUCGGCGAGAAAACCCUCUUUACUGGCCACAUGUGUCGCGAGGUCUCUUUACGAGGCGGCUGCUCCACUUUUCAGGGCUAAAUUACGAAUUAGAUCAGGUUCCCGCCCACGACUCUUCCCAAGGAUGACAUCGGCGAUUGGCGCGGAGAGUGAAAAGCUCGACGAGAAGUGCAUCGAACAGCGCGCACCUGCAGAAUGCCAAUUGCAUUUGAUUUCAUCGAGAAUCCUCGCAGCGGGUCGCUUUUUCUUUUUUUUAAAGAAUUUCUCGUAGCUAUUAAUAAUCAAGUUGUAAAGUACCAUUUGGCAAGUGGCGCAAACGAGGAUUCGUGUAAGACGUUAGUUGGCAGAUCGGGAUUAAAUCGUUCCGGCAUUGUCGGCGAUCCGAUCUAUCGAUGGACCGUGGUGCAGAUCGAGAUCGAUCGUGCGAUCACUCGUGUGCGUCUGCGACUAAUUGGCCGCCGCGAUGCAGUUGCGGCCUAUCAAUAUCGUCUGACGUACCGACGGAAUGCGUCGAAAUGCAAAGUGCAUUCCGCGCCGUUAAUUAGACCCAUCGUCACGGCGACUAUUAUUAGUCCUUACUUUCACUCUCUUUUCUUUCUCCUCGCAUUAUGCGACGGCAUUGUCCAAUCUGAUAUGUCCGCUCCGUAUUUAGAACCGGGUUCGUAGCUUCUUUUUUUAACGAGAAAGACGUUGAAAUAGUCGCUAGACGUGGUAGUAGCUAUUUCAAUAGUCGGCACAGGUUGCACGGACGUGUGUAGAAAUUAAGUAUAGCUAUAUUUGUAGGAUAGAAAAUGAGUGUUAGUGCAACAGUUGUGUCAACAGUAAGAAAACUCGCUUAACCGAGUGCGUCAUGAACGAGAUCCGAAAGAUCGCCACCCAAUAAUUUCUAAUGACUGAUUAGACACCCUGCUCCUAAGAAAAAAGAAAAAAUACCGCCUAUUAAAAAUGUGUAUUAAAAACAUUUCCACUGUUUCGGGUGGAUCGUAACUGUCGUUUAUUUGGAAAUAUGUGAACAUUUGAUAUCAAUUUUAAAGAAUUAACCGAUGAGAAAUGGGAGAAGUACACGAGUGAAAUAGGAAGCUUCGUUAAAUUUCUGAGGGGCAAUGGAGGCGUCUAAGAUGGGUGAAGAAAAAAAUGAAGAACUCAACGUCUGGGGAACUUAUCAUUGUUGGGGUUCCCGGCGUUGAUGCGGAAACAACUGAUGUACCGCAUCGGCCAAUUAGUCGAACCGUUGCAGUUGCAGUCUAUCAAUAUAGUCCCACGUGACAUUCUCAUCCGAGCUCUCUCCCCUUUAUCGUCCACUUCCCACCCAUUUCUCACGCAUCGCCGGGAACAUAAGGUAGCACUGACUAAUUACUCCCAUCCCUGCAGUCGCGACUCAUUAAUAUCCUGGAGAGUUCUCUCGGCCGCGCGAGUUUCCCCGCAAGUUUAGCCUAACUAAUCCGUCUGGUUAAGCGUCUUCGUGCGCAGCCGAAGCUCGGAUGGGUCGCCGGAAAAACUCCAUUAAGCUCCGUGCUUAGAUCACGUACAUCUGCAUCCUGACCUUUGUCAACCCAGCCUGCGGUAUUUCGAUUCGCGCCAUUAAUAGCGCGACUUCGAGGCGGCGCAGUUGCGGGAUGCAGCUGCACCUUUAAAAUCCGCAUCUCGCGGCGCGCGGCCUUCGCGCGCGUUCCGCAGCGGAAGACGCGCGUGUCGCUUUCCGUCGUCCCGCUUCGCGGAAUUGCCGACUCGCCUCACAAAAGGAAAGAGAAAAUUUCAGGGAUCUCUUUGUCCUGGCGAUACUCACUUUUCCCGCGACCGACCUCUUUGUUAACAAUUCACAACAUUUUGUUAUUCGCAUAAAAAAACCUUCCUACACUAAGAGACAUUUAGACAUAUCGGUGAAGAACAAAAUGUCUAGCGUUUUUCUCUGUACGGUUGUCAUCGAGAACCUCAAAUGCCACGUGUACGUUUAUAGCGGGCGCAACCACGUGGGGUGUAUAUUUUCGUUUUUUUUAUUUUUUAUUUUUUUUUCGUUAGCACGGAAUCCGCACAAUUUCGACUUCCCUUAAAUAAUUGGAUUUCCGGGAUUGAGAACCAACGAUAGCUCCAGUAGCCGAGGUUUACGUGCUAGCACGUUCACAUCGGUAUCGCUUUAAAGUCGCUCUAAACUUAGAUCAAAUUGACACGUAAGAUUAUUUAUGUACCGUGCAACCCAGAUCCGUGGAUACGUGAACAUGUUCGAAACCGUUGGAUUCUAGGCAAUCCAAAGUCGUCGACCGGGUAUUACCGCGAGUGCUAUUGUUACGUUCUGGAAUCCUUCCAUGUAAAUCCCACCGAUUUCCGGAAAAGUAUCGUUAGAUAAAAAAAUUAAUAUUUCUCUACCCCGGCACUGAAGGCUCGAAAUUCAACGAGGGUAUGCACGGUUGAUUCCGUGGGCACGAAAUGAUUAUUAAUUGAAAUCCCGAGGGUAUUUUUUACGCAGUAAAAUUCAGACCGACCCCAAGGUUAGAGGGCCAAAAAUAUUCGGGUGAAUCGAUAGAACGACUCGAAGAAGCGCGCCGCGAUAUUUUUGGAAAACAGGGUGGCCGUUUUCUCGAUCGCAUAAAUCGAAACUCCGGACGUCCGGCUUCUUUCGUAUCUGAAUCGAGAUCGAUUAUUCAAAAGGCGAUGGAUUCCAUCCGAAAAGUGAACCUUGCUUUUUUCCAAUUAGGCUAGAACGUGGCUAAGAGAUGCGUGACCUUAGAUUAAACGGCGAUUUUUGCACACGUCCGCUGCACCCGAAAUAUAGCUUACGGAGGUUUAAAUCUCUAAGAACGGAAACAUAAAUUUAAGGCAUAGGUAAAGGUGUAAUGUCGGAACGGCCAAGAAAUUUUGUUUAUCGCCGGAAUAUUUCGAAGAAGGCUAAAUGCAACGUGGCCGGUGCGCAAAUAAAAACGAGAAAUCCCAGCCGGGCAGAUAUUUGAAGUCUGGCCGAAUAUUCCAUUUCCACUGAUCGUGUCAUCACGAGUACGCACCGCUCGCGGCAUGAUUUGCUUAUUCAUGUUGCAAGUGAUAAAGUGCAGCAUGCGUCAGGCAGCCGGGCCAAAGCGAAAUUUACCCUAUGUCAAUCCGGGAUCGAGAGAUACCGAAAUUCCCGCGGAAAAACAUUUCCCUCCCGCUUAUCCGAAAUAGAGGACGUGAAAACGAGCAUUAACGGUGGAUAAAGCUGGUCGGGAAAUUCGAUGAAAUGAUUGCCGAAAAUGCAAUGAUACCGCUUCUGCCCGGUCAGAUGGAAAUUAUUCCACGUGAAACCCCGAUGAAGGAAAAGAGAAAUUCUGGGAGGAAUUUUAAAUUAUUAUACCGUCGCUACUGAUAAUGAGUGUGAGGUGUACUUGAAACGCGGCGCGAGGAAACAAGUAUACCUAGAUUCGUAGGUGCAAGGACUAUCCUGGUUCAAAGACGGUCUUGGUAACGCAAACACUCUUGUGUCACUGUCAUCGCAUAUGUCAUAAUUCCGGCACCCACGCGUCUCAAAAGGCUGGAAUAAUUUACUAUCUACCGCGGUCCCAGGCGAUAGUUCGUUGAUCUUCUCGUGGAUCGUGAUCUUAUGCCAGAGGCCCUACGAAAAUUAUGAGAAUCCGAGAUAGUCAGAGACUAAGAGAAAGGAGUCUCGUAAGGCUAGAAAUAGUGCAGAAAUUACUUGCACCGGAAUUAUCGAGCUCUUUAAGUUCCAAGCUCAUGUUAUAAGAAAUGGGGACAUUGCUAGGACGAUUUGUACAUUUUAAAUUUAAUUCCCUGGGGAACUGUCGAGUACCUACAAUUGUUAAUUUAACAAAAAAAAAAAAGAAUUAAUAAUGCAAUGAGACCCAGUUGUUAGCCGGAUGUGAAAUAUCUAAUGUUAGUCGUGCGCGUUAAAAAGAUAAGAAAAAAAAUCGAAUGACAUUUCGGUGGCUCACGAUAUCUUCGUAAAUGAUAAGAAUGUAUGUUGGGUAUAUAAGGAUAAUAUUUAAAGUGUGCUUAUCGUAAGUUCUUAACCAGUGUUAGCAAUAUUUUUUGUUUAGAAAUGAAGGAGCUACUGCUAUGUUUUCUUAUACUUGUAAUUGGCAUUCAGAUAGUUGCUGCAGUCGAUGUUACGGGAGGGAAAAUUGGAAAUCCCUGCACCCUCGGACCAGGCUAUUGGUGCCAAACUAGGUGGUUCGCCGUGAAAUGCAACAAAGUCGAGUACUGCAGAAAAUAUGUUUGGUUACAUUAGGCUACAAAGGCAGAAAGAUUAAGAGACAUCAGCUUCCUGGAUACGAUCCUGCCAUGACAUUCUCUAUCACGACAUUAUCCGACAAAAAAAUCCGUUGUUCAUCCGCGAAGCAACGGUUAACCAUCGAAGGCAUUCUUCCCUCAAACGAAUAGAGAAAUUCUUCUAAAAUGUAAAAUAUUAAAAUAAAUACCAAGGACCUUAACGUCGUUCCCAUUA